GGUAAUACUAAAGGUGCAAGCGUUAAUCGGAAUUACUGGGCGUAAAGCGCGCGUAGGUGGUUUGUUAAGUUGGAUGUGAAAGCCCAGGGCUCAACCUUGGAACUGCAUUCAAAACUGACUCACUAGAGUACGAGAGAGGUUAGUGGAAUUUCCUGUGUAGCGGUGAAAUGCGUAGAGAUGGGAAGGAACACCAGUGGCGAAGGCGACUGACUGGCUCGAUACUGACACUGAGGUGCGAAAGCGUGGGGAGCAAACGGGAUUAGAUACCCCGGUAGUCCACGCCGUAAACGAUGUCUACUAGCCGUUGGAGGACUUGAUCCUUUAGUGGCGCAGCUAACGCGAUAAGUAGACCGCCUGGGGAGUACGGYCGCAAGAUUAAAACUCAAAGG
rnacentral:rRNA from 1 species